rnacentral:rRNA from 1 species
ACAGAGGGGGCAAGCGUUGUUCGGAAUUACUGGGCGUAAAGGGCGCGUAGGCGGCCUGCUAAGUCGAACGUGAAAUCCCCGGGCUCAACCCGGGAACUGCGUCCGAGACUGGCGGGCUCGAAUUCGGGAGAGGGAUGCGGAAUUCCAGGUGUAGCGGUGAAAUGCGUAGAUAUCUGGAGGAACACCUGUGGCGAAGGCGGCAUCCUGGACCGAUAUUGACGCUGAUGCGCGAAAGCCAGGGGAGCAAACGGGA